GACGAACGCUGGCGGUGUGCUUAACACAUGCAAGUCGAACGGAAAGGCCCUGCUUUUGUGGGGUGCUCGAGUGGCGAACGGGUGAGUAACACGUGAGUAACCUGCCCUUGACUUUGGGAUAACUUCAGGAAACUGGGGCUAAUACCGGAUAGGAGCUCCUGCUGCAUGGUGGGGGUUGGAAAGUUUCGGCGGUUGGGGAUGGACUCGCGGCUUAUCAGCUUGUUGGUGGGGUAGUGGCUUACCAAGGCUUUGACGGGUAGCCGGCCUGAGAGGGUGACCGGCCACAUUGGAGCUGAGGUACGGCCCGAACUACUACGGGGGGGAGCCGUGGGGAAUAUUUCCCUAUGGGCGGAAUCCUGAAGAAGCAACGCCGCGGCCGGGGUGACGGCCUUCGGGUUGUAAACCGCUUUCGCCUGUGACGAGGCGUGAGUGACGGUAAUGAGUAGAGAAGCUCCGGCUGACUACGUG
rnacentral:rRNA from 1 species